rnacentral:rRNA from 1 species
UACGUAGGGCGCGAGCGUUGUCCGGAAUUAUUGGGCGUAAAGAGCUCGUAGGCGGUUUGUUGCGUCGGAUGUGAAAGCCCGGGGCUUAACCCCGGGUCUGCAUUCGAUACGGGCAGACUGGAGUGUGGUAGGGGAGGUCGGAAUUCCUGGUGUAGCGGUGAAAUGCGCAGAUAUCAGGAGGAACACCGGUGGCGAAGGCGGAUCUCUGGGCCAUUACUGACGCUGAGGAGCGAAAGCGUGGGGAGCGAACAGG